rnacentral:rRNA from 1 species
GGCCAGCUUGGCGUUAGUUGUCCAAGUUUAAGGUGGUAGGCUGAAAUCUUAGGUAAAUCCGGGGUUUCAAGGCCGAGAGCUGAUGACGAGUCGUCUUUUAGAUGACGAAGUGGUUGAUGCCAUGCUUCCAAGAAAAGCUUCUAAGCUUCAGGUAACCAGGAACCGUACCCCAAACCGACACAGGUGGUCGGGUAGAGAAUACCAAGGCGCUUGAGAGAACUCGGGUGAAGGAACUAGGCAAAAUGGCACCGUAACUUCGGGAGAAGGUGCGCCGGCUAGGGUGAAGGAUUUACUCCGUAAGCUCUGGCUGGUCGAAGAUACUAGGCCGCUGCGACUGUUUAUUAAAAACACAGCACUCUGCAAACACGAAAGUGGACGUAUAGGGUGUGACGCCUCCCCGGUGCCGGAAGGUUAAUUGAUGGGGUUAGCGCAAGCGAAGCUCUUGAUCGAAGCCCCGGUAAACGGCGGCCGUAACGAUAACGGUCCUAAGGUAGCGAAAUUCCUUGUCGGGUAAGUUCCGACCUGCACGAAUGGCGUAACGAUGGCGGCGCUGUCUCCACCCGAGACUCAGUGAAAUUGAAAUCGCUGUGAAGAUGCAGUGUAUCCGCGGCUAGACGGAAAGACCCCGUGAACCUUUACUGUAGCUUUGCACUGGACUUUGAGCCUGCUUGUGUAGGAUAGGUGGGAGGCUUUGAAGCGUGGACGCCAGUUCGCGUGGAGCCAUCCUUGAAAUACCACCCUGGCAUGCUUGAGGUUCUAACUCUGGUCCGUAAUCCGGAUCGAGGACAGUGUAUGGUGGGCAGUUUGACUGGGGCGGUCUCCUCCUAAAGAGUAACGGAGGAGUACGAAGGUGCGCUCAGACCGGUCGGAAAUCGGUCGCAGAGUAUAAAGGCAAAAGCGCGCUUGACUGCGAGACAGACACGUCGAGCAGGUACGAAAGUAGGUCUUAGUGAUCCGGUGGUUCUGUAUGGAAGGGCCAUCGCUCAACGGAUAAAAGGUACUCCGGGGAUAACAGGCUGAUACCGCCCAAGAGUUCAUAUCGACGGCGGUGUUUGGCACCUCGAUGUCGGCUCAUCACAUCCUGGGGCUGAAGCCGGUCCCAAGGGUAUGGCUGUUCGCCAUUUAAAGUGGUACGCGAGCUGGGUUUAGAACGUCGUGAGACAGUUCGGUCCCUAUCUGCCGUGGACGUUUGAGAUUUGAGAGGGGCUGCUCCUAGUACGAGAGGACCGGAGUGGACGAACCUCUGGUGUUCCGGUUGUCACGCCAGUGGCAUUGCCGGGUAGCUAUGUUCGGAAAAGAUAACCGCUGAAAGCAUCUAAGCGGGAAACUUGCCUCAAGAUGAGAUCUCACUGGGAACUUGAUUCCCCUGAAGGGCCGUCGAAGACUACGACGUUGAUAGGCUGGGUGUGUAAGCGUUGUGAGGCGUUGAGCU